UACGAAGGGGGCUAGCGUUGUUCGGAAUCACUGGGCGUAAAGCGUAUGUAGGCGGAUUGUUAAGUCAGGGGUGAAAUCCCGAGGCUCAACCUCGGAACUGCCUUUGAUACUGGCUUUCUUGAGUUCGGGAGAGGUGAGUGGAACUCCUAGUGUAGAGGUGAAAUUCGUAGAUAUUAGGAAGAACACCAGUGGCGAAGGCGGCUCACUGGCCCGGUACUGACGCUGAGGUGCGAAAGCGUGGGGAGCAAACAGG
rnacentral:rRNA from 1 species